rnacentral:rRNA from 1 species
UACGGAGGGAGCUAGCGUUGUUCGGAAUUACUGGGCGUAAAGCGCACGUAGGCGGCUUUGUAAGUUAGAGGUGAAAGCCCGGGGCUCAACCCCGGAAUUGCCUUUAAGACUGCAUCGCUUGAAUCCGGGAGAGGUGAGUGGAAUUCCGAGUGUAGAGGUGAAAUUCGUAGAUAUUCGGAAGAACACCAGUGGCGAAGGCGGCUCACUGGACCGGUAUUGACGCUGAGAUGCGAAAGCGUGGGGAGCAAACAGG